CUAGUGCAACAAGAAUGGAACAUGAAAGUCAAGAGGGGAAAACUUGGUAGACCUAGGAAAAUUGCACACAACAUAAUAUAUGGAGAUGAAAUUGCACAAUACAAUAAGUUGUGGGACUAUGGGCAUGAGUUGAGGAGAUCUAAUCCAGGCAGCACUUUCUUUGUUGAGCUUGCCAAUGAUGGUCAAUUUAGGAAAUGUUACUUCUCAUUUGAUGCAUGCAAGAGGGGUUUUUUAUCAUCUUGUAGGCCAGUUCUCUUUCUUGAUGGAACCCAUUUGAAGACCCAAUUUGGAGGCAUUCUCUUGACAGCUAUUGGAAUGGACCCCAAUGAUUGCAUCUUUCCAAUAGCUUUUGGUGUUGUCGAAGUUGAG
rnacentral:rRNA from 1 species